rnacentral:rRNA from 1 species
ACUCAAAUGAAUUGACGGGGGCUCACACAAGCGGUGGAGCAUGUGGCUUAAUUCGAAGCAACGCGAAGAACCUUAUCCUGGGCUUGACAUGCACGGAUUAACUCCCUGAAAGGGGAGCCACACCCUCUGGGUGGAACGUGCACAGGUGCUGCAUGGCUGUCGUCAGCUCGUGCUGUGAAGUGUUGGGUUAAGUCCCUUAACGAGCGAAACCCUUGUCGCUAGUUGCCAGCGGGUCAUGCCGGGGACUCUAGCGAGACUGCCGGUGUCAAACCGGAGGAAGGUGGGGAUGACGUCAAGUCCUCAUGGCCUUUAUGCCCAGGGCUGCACACGUGCUACAAUGGCGACCACAGAGCGAAGCAAUGCCGCGAGGCGGAGCAAAUCGCACAAAAGUCGCCCCAGUUCGGAUUGGAGUCUGCAACCCGACUCCAUGAAGUUGGAAUCGCUAGUAAUCGCGUAUCAGCUACGACGCGGUGAAUACGUUCCUGAGCCUUGCACACACCGCCCGU